GCACAUAUCUGUAUAUGCUUAUAGAUAUAUCCAGGCAUUUGCCAUAAGCAACAGACAACAAGAAAGCAUACGUCAUAUAUAUACAAUAUGCAGAGAGAAACAGACAUACAUACGUCGAGUGAAAUUAUAUGUGGAAAAAAACAAGGCAACAAUUUUUGCGCUCAAAUGCAAAUACUGGCACAGAGAAAGAGAACACACGAAAAGUACACGAAGUAAUACAUGUGUUCAGGAGCUGAGACAACAACAAGAACAACAACUGCAGCAAACGGAAUCGAUUGGCUCAGUGAGUUCCAGGAAACUGGCCAAAACUGACCAAACGAUGACGACGACGACGACGAUCCGUUCUCCCCCUAAACGAAACGACAAUCGUGCAAACCCAAACAGAACAACAACAAAAAACGAAAAUAAAAUUAAGAUCAGCUCACCUGAGCGAGGCGCACAAAAUACCCGAGUAUUAUAUCGAACAAUAAAAUGAGGCAAGUGGCAAGUGGCCAAAGGGGCACGUAACCAAAGCAGGGCAACAACAACAACAACAGCAAUGGCAAUGGCAACGGCACGCCCAUUGCCCAGUCCCAGAGAGAACAGGAGUGUUUCGUUGCCCAGUCGAACAGGAGGCCGCACAUCCGAAGGGGUACAGCGGAGAGGGGCGGAGGAGAAGCUCGAACCAAUUCAACUCAAAACUCUGAUCGGCGGCAUCACUCAGUCAACUGCUUUCGUUUUUUCGCGUUUUUGUUGCGCUCCCUAUUUAAAAUACCCUAGAAACGUGACAACUAUAACAAAGGGUAGACACAGUACGCUAAUAAAUAUGUAUUCAUAAAGAAACAUUUUAUAUUAAACUCCAAUUGAACAAAGUUUUAGUAACAAUAAAAAAA